rnacentral:misc_RNA from 1 species
UUGUGGAGGAGGACGCCGAAGGUGGGGCUAAUGACUGGGGUGAAGUCGUAACAAGGUAGCCGUACCGGAAAGGUGCGGCUGGAUCACCUCCUAACAGGGAGACAACAAAAAUGUAAAUAUUAAUUUUGUCACCUUAGGUCGAUCGGUAUCUCAGGUUCUUAAUUUUUAAGAAUUUCAGUUUCUAAGCUUUUUCCAGGUCACACCCAUCACUUUUUCCUGGGCCAUUAGCUCAGGUGGUUAGAGCGCACCCCUGAUAAGGGUGAGGUCCCUGGUUCAAGUCCAGGAUGGCCCAUAUCUCUAUGUUGGGGGUAUAGCUCAGUUGGUAGAGCGCCUGCUUUGCAAGCAGGAUGUCAGCGGUUCGAGUCCGCUUACCUCCACUGAAUACCACCUCUUACAUAUUUUAAAGAGGGAGAUUGUUAUGAGUCGUGUUCUAUUUUGCUCUGAGCGAAUCUAGCUUCCUAUUUUUAUUUAAUAAUAAGAUGCUGGACUCAUUGAAUUAUUAUUCAUUGUUUUCAGAGAACCUUGACAACUGCAUAGAUUUUUUGAAGAAAAUAAGCAUCUUUAAUGAUGCAGAUUUAUUAUUUGUGCGAAUGCAUUAAAUAACUAUUCUAUAAGCUGAUGCUUCAAUAUUAUUGAAGUUAUUGGUCAAGCUACAA